UUCAAGAUGAUCUGGGGUGAAAUGUCUGCUGCAGACCUUUGUGUGAAAACUUAAUGUCCUAUUAAAUUUCAAAGAAGCUGUAUACACAGUAGAGUUCAGGAUAUUUUUAGUCAUGUCUUUGAAAAUGUCAGGAUGUAAAAAUCUUCUUGCAGACACUAAUUUUAUGUUGUGUCUUGGGGAAUAAGAAUUAUUCUCAGCUCAGGGCACCACCAGAGAUUCUCUUAAUAAAGGAGGAGAUGCCAACUUGGACAUAUCUAUCACUGCAGAAAGCAAUGAUCAACAUGGAUAAUAUGCUGCAUAGUGUGUGUCAGAAAUGUAACACCCCUUACCAUAAUCAGGUUUCAAAUCCGCAGUCUUCAUGAGCAGCUGUAAACACAAAAAUCGCUUACCCAACGGUACAUUGAGGGCAGGCCAAAGCAGCCAGUAUGCAGACAUUGUGCAGAUGUGUGACAUGGUGACGAAGUUAAGUCACAGAAAUAAUGGCAAGGGCUACAAACCAGCAUUUUAGG